CGCUGGGCCGCCCGCAGGUCCUGUGCAGUCUCGGGUCGAGUCCCGGGAAUGAGUGGUCUACUGGCUUAAGAGAGACUUCGGUGCUUCCCACCUAGCCGGGAAGACCUUUCACAUAUUGUUUCAACAUCCGACCAAGUCUUCCAAGUAUUCCAGGAAUCAGCCCAUACCCAGAAGACCUGUGUGUCACUCCCACUGCACCACCACACCUGGGGAUCUGCCUGCUUCAAACAAUCCUACAACCAACCCUUUGGAGUGCCUUCAUUCAAGCCUGUCCAGCUACAACACUAGAGGUUACCGUGGCAACCAAACCCACAGACAGCAGGUGACCAGAAAACAGCUGCCAACAGAGGAAGAGAAACACCCAAACUCCCCCAGACUCCUCUGGGAGACUGCUCUUGGCCCAGACCUCCCAGUGUAUACACCUUCUGCCCUCUGAUACCCUCUGCAUACUGGGAGUAGGGGAAUGGACUCAGCCCAAGCAGCAACACCUCCCUCUUCUCUGCCCAAAAGGGAUCUCUAGGCCAUUCCACUCCCCUACCUAUCUCCUGGAACCUGUUGGUGAUCUGACCACCCCUGCAUGCCAGCCCCUCUGGUCCAGUCUUCCCAGCUCAUUAGUAUCUACCACCAUCAGUUUCUCUUUUGCUUCAGAAGUGUUUAUGAGCCUCUUGGACAGGAAGGCUUGGUAAAGUGGGCUAUGUUUUCUCUGUCAUCACCCAAGCUGUCCUUCAGCCUCUAUAAUGCCUCCCUCAUAUAAGUGGCCUCAUAUAAGGCCACUGCCUUUGGUCCAGGAAGUCUCUAUUUUAACAGGCAUCCAUGCCCCAGGGAGGAGUUAAUUCCCAGGCCACCUGUUUCUGCACCUGUGAGUCACCCUCUCCCCAGGACACUGUGUCCCAAGAAAGUAUCAGUUUCUGCAGCGGACCUUGGGUCAGCCUCGGAGACCCCUCAAGGAAAGAACAGACCCUGGGAAGCAAGGGAAAGGCUGGCUGGAGAGCCACAGGCCUAUAUGCUCACCAGAGCAGAGAAAACAGAAAAGAGAGCCCUCAGGGAACAUCUGGUCCUGGGGCUUUCCCGGUACCUGUUGGGACUCUCUGCUACCUGUGGCCUCACUCACAGGCCAGUGGCCCGGCUUUGACCCUGUAGUACAGACAUGCCUCCUGGAGCUUGGGCCAAGCAGUCCCAGGACAGCCUCUGAUAGCAUCACAACCCUUUCUUCAGGCCUGUGGACACCCAGACAUAACUCUGUCAUCUGCACUCUAUUAUCGAUCUGCCAGUGAUCUUGGCAGAUCAGCUUACCGGGUCUGAGCAUUGACUUCCACAUCCAAAAGUGGGGUAAAAAUCCAUGCCCACUAAAUAUCGAGUUACAUGGAGAUAAAGUAAUAAGGAUAGGGGCGCCUGGGUGGCUCAGUGGGUUAAAGCCUCUGCCUUCGGCUCAGGUCAUGAUCCCAGGGUCCUGGGAUCGAACCCUGCAUUGGGCUCUCUGCUCAGCGCGGAGCCUGCUUCCCCCUCUCUCUCUGCCUGCUUCUCUGCCUGCUUGUGAUCUCUGUCUGUCAAAUAAAUAAAAUCUUAAAAAAAAAAAAAAAAAGAAUAAACCCAUGGGAAGGUUAGAAAGGGCACAGGGGCUUCAGCCUCAAGAGAACUGUAGGGAAAGAACUGUGGGUGGAGAUGGUAUGACCUUACAACAGAAAAUGGCACUACUGUUGCUUCUAAUAGGCUUGUUGCAACAUUCCACUGGCUGCCCCUCACCUUUGACCCAGUUAUACUCUUCUUUGUGCCUGGGUGAGGCUGUUAUCACCGACUGGUUGUUUUAACACCUGCUGUCUGGCUUCUAAAUGCUGCCUAUGACAGAGAAAUUGUUGAGGAGGGCCCCAGCCUUUCCCCCACCCUCACCCCCAUCACGGACAGCAGAGAUAUAUCAGGAACAGGUGGCAUUUCAAAGUGCAUCAUAAAAAGGAAGUGCCAGCCAAGAGGGACUUACUCACCAUCUGCUCUGCUCCCUUCACAAAUACGUCUCCUGGGGCUCCCCUAUUUGACUUAACACCUAUCGAACAACCAAAGGAGUAGAAGAAUCUAUCACCACUAACAUCAAGGAAACGAAACAUUCCAUUUUAAAAUAGAAGCUGUUUCAAAGGGCAAAUUAGCCAGACGCAAGGACUGUAAAAGUGAUCCUGAGCCAUGGGAAUGGCUGUCAUUUGGCUAGAAUGCAAAUGCACUCACAGGGGCUUCCAGGCAAAGGCUGGGGUUGCAGGAUUAGCUCAAGGACAGGCUGCUGCCAACAGCUUCAAGAAACACUUAUGCGGCCUUCUCCAAACCAGAGAGAGAUUAAAUAAAGACAUCCUGCAGCAUUAGGGAGCAGGCAUAACACUGAAUUAAUCUUCCUAGGCAGAGGGCACACAAUUUUCAUCUCUGAACAAUGUUAUUUGUUGUUUUUGCUUGACCAUAAUUCCUUUCUGGUCACCCAAGAAUAUCUUCCCAGGAAUAAAGUAUCCUUCCUUAAACCCCCAAAUCUUUAGCUUCCUGCCAGGCUGGCCACGCCCACUCUCAGAUGGGGGUGGGUCCCUGCCCCCUCAUCCCCUUAUGCAGAGUCAUGGCACUAAAGCCAAAGUCCCAGGGUCUCCCUGCAGCUGCGGCAAGGUGGGACGUACCAGCAGAACUGUAACUGUGACUGCCAGGUGGGACAAUGCCAGAGAAGCCCAGCUCUGGUAGCCUUGCCAGCCACCAGACAAGGACAAAUUAACUUGGCUCCCUUACCACCUCUGGAUGUACCUGUGCAUCACCAAAAGUCUAAUUAGCAAAGCCCGGCUGGUGACAUCAGAUCACAGUGACCCCCAAACUCCUAUGAUAAGUCAGGAGUGCUUCUGGCUUUUAGAACAAUCAACUCUCUGUUAGCUCAGGGCAGAGAGGUGAAAGAGUAAAAGGAAGGGCUGCAGGCUUGUACUGAGGGCUAUGGGAAUAGUUAGCAAUCAAGCUCCCCCACUUCCCCAUCAGGCAGUUGCUGCUAGGGCAGUCGGAAGGCUGGGCUAGCCUAAACUUCCUCUUCUUCCUCCUCCUAAAUCCCCUGCCUGGAGCCACCAAGAAGGAUACCAGAUCCCUGACAACUUCCACCAAAGCCACAGGCUGCCUGCUGAAAUGACCCAGAAUCAAAAUAAUUUCACACAAUGCAAAAAUUA